GGGUUCUUCGAGAAUCGACGUAUAUCAACAUAGCAUCGAAGAUGUCCUCAUCGGAUGAGUGCUUCUAUAUCUUCUCUGAGCUACUAGCAAUCCUCCAUAUCAUGCUCGUGGUUCUGGUGGUACCUGUAAUAUUUAGAUUCCUUGCCCAUGUCAGUGUAGUCAUCUUCCUCGAGCAGGGGAGCUCUUCUGGGCAUUUUAUCUUCAUUAGAUCUGAGCUCAGGAGGUAUUCAAUGGAGUAAAGUAGUGAAUCUCUAUGGGGGGG
rnacentral:lncRNA from 1 species